AGUAGCCGCGGUAAUACGGAGGGUGCAAGCGUUAAUCGGAAUUACUGGGCGUAAAGCGCACGCAGGCGGUCUGACAAGUCAGAUGUGAAAUCCCCGGGCUUAACCUGGGAACUGCAUUUGAAACUGUCAGGCUGGAGUCUUGUAGAGGGGGGUGGAAUUCCAGGUGUAGCGGUGAAAUGCGUAGAGAUCUGGAGGAAUACCGGUGGCGAAGGCGGCCCCCUGGACAAAGACUGACGCUCAGGUGCGAAAGCGUGGGGAGCAAACAGGAUUAGAUACCCCCGAGUCCCUGUCUCUUAUACAC
rnacentral:rRNA from 1 species